AUGACUUGGCCGUGGGCCAUCUCUCCUCCUGACUUGCCUGUGCGGGGAAGGAGAAAGGCUCGGGUCACGUUGGCACAUGGGUGUACGUGCGGCAGCCGCGUCCCUCCUGACGAAGGCUGGAGCGGCCUCGUGCGUUGUGCGUGCCCCUGCCUCUGCGCGGUGCACUCUUUAACUGAAAACUUAAACGGCUCACCUGCUUUCCUAAGGCAUCGCUGGUUGCUAAGAUACAACCUCUGCGAUCCUGUAAAUCUUCCACUUGAAGCUGCUCUGUGUUGGCAAACGGGCCUUUCCUCUGCGGCUGCUCGGCAGACGGGGAGACCGCGGUGAGGCCUGGAUCAAUAGCUGUGAGAAAUGGAGACUGCAGCCCUUCGUCUCCGGGAGGUGUGAGCAGAGAUGUCAGAGGGCGAUAACUGAAACAGCGACGUUCUCCUCCCCGCCUCUUCCCCGAGCCAACCCGAGGUGUGCGUACGCUUACGGUGAGCGCUCUCCUGCCUCACACAGCCCGCAGUGCCAGCAUUGCUUGUAUCCGAGGGAAACCUCUGCUUCCUUCCACGUCUUCCCGCUAACUGAGAAGGAGCUCAGCCCAGUGUAACCCGCAGGGACGUUUGGCUGGGUUCAAGCCUCGCCAAGGAAAAAUUAAAAAGAUGUAGCCUGCCAAGGCUGCUGGAAUAUUGGCGUAAGUUCUUGACAGGGGGAUCCCACUCUGGAGUCAGCGUUUAUAGGUAGAGCAGGGAAGGAUACCACCCCCUCUACCCCCAGUCUGACACCCUAAUUCCAGUCUGAAUUACUUACCUAUCAUUUACAAUUAACAUUUCCCAGGAUUUGUUCCUCCAAUUGGAGAAACGGUGAGAAAGCCACUGACCCUCAGAAGGAGGCUACAGUAUUUUGUUAUUCUGGGGUUCUCCCUGCUAAGGACUCUUGCUGGGGCACUCUCAGUUUGUUACCUGCUGAAGAAUUUGGUCCUGUAGUUGAAGUUAGAGCUGCUGAGCUAUCUUGGGUCAGCAUGCCCAUGCUACUAGUAUGACUAGUGCUACCCUGCAUCCUUUAGCAGUCACUACAGUAGGUUUUAUUCUUUUUAGCAGCCAUGUUAUACAAAGUAUAUAUAUAUAUAGUCACCGUGAUCAUUAAAAUAAUUGUCUGAUGGAAUUGUUCGUUUAAGUAUCUUGUCCUACUCAUUGACUGUCUCCGCUUAGCAAAUGGCAAGACAAGUAAUUAUCUGUACCCUGACGGGCUGAUCUGUAUUCAGGGGAGCUUUUAGAGCUGAGGGAGCUCAGGAGUUUGCUCUGUCAGGUGCUUCACAUGAAAUGAUUCAUGUCUCAGGCUUGACUUAGGCUCUAGAAGUGCCUAAAGAGUUGUGCUCACUUUCAUGUCAGUAGAAGUUUGAUCCUAGUCCAACUUCAGAGAGAAGGAAAAAAAAAAUCGCUGCUAAUAAAAGCUUUCACUCUGAAAGCA
rnacentral:lncRNA from 1 species